ensembl:lncRNA
CAGGGGCGAGGGCAGCUGAGAAGCUUGUCUCAGAGAGACCGUCUGGAGAGGGAGGCCCGUCAUUUGCCUGCAGCCCCACCUUCCUCACCACCCAGCCCUGGUUUUUCCUCUGGGUUGGGGUUCUUUCUACCAUCUUCUCUGCAGUUGGUCCUUGAGAAGGCGGAAGGGAAGGGAGGGGAGGGAGGAGCGAAUGAAGCCAGUCCUCAGUGCAGAGCCUCCUGGGGUGGGGAGACCCCCAUGACCAUGCUGGAUUGUUCAGCCACAGAAAGAUGUUCGUUUUGAAAUUCUGCAUCAUGGAAAUCGUUACAAAACUCUUGAGUAGAGGUUUUGAAAUCUUUUAAUGUUCAGGCAGUAUAAUUAUUUCUUAAUCUUAACUACAGUGCUGUUUUAAAAAUUCUUUAAGCUGUGCAUGUUAGUCGCUCAGUCAUGGCUAGCUCUUUGUGACACCCAUGGGUGUAGCCUGCCAGGCUCCUCUGUCCAGGGGAUUUUCCAGGCAAAAAUACUGGAGAGGGUUGCCAUUUCCUUCUCUAGGGGAUCUUCCUGACCCAGGGAUCAAACCUGGGUCUCCUGCAUUUGCAGACAGAUUUUUUACUAUCUGAGCAACCAGCCUCUCCUUAAAUACUUGGGGUAGAUCAGUGACCUUUCAAACUUCUUUGACCUUGAUCCAUAUCAAGAAACAUCAUGUUUUAUCUUGUGCCAGAAUGCACAUCCAUCUAUAUGCAAAGAAAGAAAGAGGAAGAGAGAAAGAAAAUUUGGUGAAAAGCCCCUCCCCACAGCUUGUAGCGGGUGGGGAGUGUGACCCCAGGCAGUCCUCUGAGGCCAGCUUGGUGAGAUGUAAAAUACACAGAAGUGAGGAAUCCCUGGUGACUUGGUGGUUAGGACUUUCUGCUUUCACUGCUGUGGCCUGGGUUCAGUCCUUGGUCUGGGAACUAUGAUCCAGCAAGCAGCUUGGCCCCAAAAUAACUACAUAAGUAAAGUAAAAUGCAUAGAGGUGAGCCCAGCUAUUCUAUAAGCUCCUGUCCAAUAAGGUUUAUUACACAAACACAAAUUAAGAUACAUCUGCCUUUCCAUGUGGUGCUAGUGGUAAAAAAAACCCUCCUGCCAAUGCAGGAGACAUAAGAGAUGAGGGUUUGAUCCCGGGGUUCGGAAGAUCCCCUGGAGGAGGGCAUGGUGACCCACUCCAGUAUUUUUGCCUGGAGAAUCCCAUGGACAGAGGAGCCUGGCGGGCUGUAGUCCAUGGAGUCACAAAGAAUUGAAUAGUACUGAAGCAACUUAGCAGGCAUACAAUGAAUGCUAUACCUUGUAAAUAUCUUUAAAAUAGAAUUAAAUUAUACUUACUAAUGUGAAAGAUGUUCUUUAAAAAGCUGAACACAAGCUGAACAGUAAUAUAUAUUACCAUUUCUGAAAUAUAAUAGUUAUGUUGACACAGUGAUAAACUAUGAAUAUCAAUGAUUUUUUUAUACUAAAGUUUUCAAUACUGAUUUUUUCUGGGUAAUAGGUGAAUGCUGAUUUUACUUUUUUACAUCUUUCUUUUGUUACAAAGAUUAUGACUUAUGUGGUUUUAGGACAGUGGUGUGAUGGGCGAUGACGCGUAAUAAGAUGGUGAGACAGCAGGAAACUUUAAGGGAAUGGGCAGACUGACCCUAGAGGAACUCAUGCACUGCAGACGGUGUAAGCAGACAGAAUAUUUUCCUAAAGAAGUGUCUACUGAUAUUUACUCAUAUUUAGUACUGAGUUUCUCGAGAACCUACCGUCCAUUAGCCCCAGUUUCGGGGAGGAAGCCCUGAAGGGGAGAAGGGGUAUGGGUGGGGAGAACAGACCAGUUUGCACAGCAUCCCUGGUGGCCAGGCAGUGAUGAGGCAGUCCACGCAGGCGCGAAGGAGCCGUGCCCCCAGGACCCUCAGUGGUGGAUUUCACUGUGUAGGCCAAGGUGAAUCUUGUGGAAAGUCUCUGUGGGAAACCGUUUUUUCCCCAUCACAAUCACUUUCUUGGCUAGACUCUUCUGUAACAAAGUAUUGGUGUGUUACCAAAAAAUGUAGAGACACAGAGAUACUCAGUAAUGGCUGUGUCCUCUGAAUAGGUGAGUGUCAUCCUCUGAAUAGGUGGAUGAUUAACAAGGGGAGGAACAGGGACUUCUGCGGAGACUAACUGGGGGCUAGAAAGUAGUAUCUAUUGCCUUUGUACAUGACCUAAGACUCGUUUGUAGUCACCAGCGAGCAGAUACUUGGUCACUCCCCUGGGAGGUGAUGACCUUCUCCAGACAUUUAUCUGACUCUUCCUGAUGAGGCAACACUGCUGAGGGGAAAAAGGAGUUGAGUUCUAAGUUUCUGUAGGGUUAUCAGUAUUUUCCAUUUGACUUAAAUGCAGAUUUAAGUUGGGAUUUCCCUGCAGUCCAGUGGUCAGGAUCUGGGCUCUCAGUGCAGGAGGCAUGGGCUCAAUUCCUUGGUGAGGAGCUAAGAUUCCCAAAGCGUGCCAAUAAAUAAGUAAAUAAACAAAUGGAGACUGCUGUACAGCAUCGGCUUGGUGUUGGCCUUGUUCUUACCAUAUACAAAUUAGUGUGUUUAAAAACAUCACCGUGCAUGUAAGAAUUAAAGAUUUUAAAAUUUAAAAAAUAAAAAAAAAUAAAAAUGAAAAAACAAAACAAACAAAAAAAAAAACAUCACCGUAACCAGGAAUGGCAACAGUUGGACAAAACGGGAUAAUUGGGCAAUUCUGCAAGGAAUGCCUUUGCAUAAUCAGACAUGGCCUGUUGAAUACAUGCUGUGUUCAGUGCCUGCUGCAUGCUAAGUUGCAUCAGUCAUGUCCAACGUGUCCAACUCUUUGCAACCUUAUGGACUGCAGCCCCUGAGGGAUUAUUAGUUUUAACCUUGAGAAGAGAUAGUGUAAUGUGGUGGAAAGAAGAUAGUCUUCCAGCUGACACAAAUCAGAAGACAGGUGAACUUCUGAUCUGCCUGGGGCACCAGGAAUCACCAGAGGCUACGGGGUGAGCUUGGUGUUCUUGGCAUUCAAAGAUGCCCUCAGGAGUGGGACAUGGGGCCAUAGCCUGGCUCUCAGAGCGAGAUUGUUUUUGCCCUAGACAGGUGAACACAGCACUCUGCAAACAGGACAGGACUCUUGGUAACAGUGAGGGUACGAUGCUUGGUCAUGUAGGGUUGGGGGAGAAGGAAUUUACCACUUGAAGACCUUAGAGAAAGGCAUCCUUAAAUAAUGAGAGACUUUAUCAUCCGAGGAGUGAUGGACCAAUACAAUAGUGGAUGUGUUCCCUGCUUCAGAAAAGUUGCUAAUACACGGUUUAUGGUCAUCAGGAUAAUUAAACACGCACCCCAAGAGUUGGCUUUUGUCUCUCUGGACCAUGUUGACUUUUCCAACUGUUUCAACUUUAAUGCAUGGCAAGUGUACAUAAAAAACAAUAUUCAACAGUUCAGUUACAUAACUGUCUACAUACCUUUUAUUUUAUGGUUUUCAAUUAUUUUAAAAGUUUUAAAUAAGUGAAGAUAACCACUAAAUGAGAA